rnacentral:lncRNA from 1 species
UGAGCUAUAAAGCCCAAUGAGCAGAAACUAAAAACAUUGAUUUUAUUAUUUCCUUUAUUCUUAUUCAUUAUUUAUUAUUCAUUUUAUUUUAUUAUUCUUUUUAUUAUCAUUAUUAUUAUUAUUUAUUUUAUUUUAUUUCCACAUAUUAUUUAACUUUUUUUUUCUGUAUGCUUUCAUGAAAUGCAACACAUCACAGCUAAUCACAUAAAGGAUGGUAUUGUCACCAUUAGUCCUCUUCCUUUCCAAAGUGCCGGGACGUAGAAUGGGUCAACCGGUCUUUCUCUUACAUAACACAUCAUAACAUAACAUUCCAAUAUGCCGGGACGUAGA